UACGUAGGGUGCAAGCGUUAAUCGGAAUUACUGGGCGUAAAGCGCGCGUAGGCGGCUCUGCAAGUCGGGUGUGAAAUCCCCGGGCUCAACCUGGGAACUGCAUUCGAGACUGCAUUGCUUGAGUAUGGGAGAGGGAGGCGGAAUUUCAGGUGUAGCGGUGAAAUGCGUAGAUAUCUGAAGGAACAUCAGUGGCGAAAGCGGCCUCCUGGACCAAUACUGACGCUCAUGUGCGAAAGCGUGGGGAGCAAACAGG
rnacentral:rRNA from 1 species